CCCAAACAAAAUUAAACUUUUGCAGGCAACGCCAUAUCUCCAGAAAAUCUGCAACUUCACUGCCCAAAUUAAUUUAACAAAUGAAAAUCAUAAAGCAAUAACUUCAGCAGAGAUCCAUUCUUGUUUUCUCUUCGUGGGGUUUUCUGGAGAGUGGAGAAGAAGCGAAGGGUCCAACGUCCCCUUUGAUUUGAUUUCAGCAACCAGUAGCAAACGGAAUACCUCGGCCCGUUAUUGAAUUGACCUCGUGCGUAUUACAUUGAAAGUACAACAAGGCUUACGUUUCAAACGCCAGUCGGAUUUGGACCGCAUGUUUUAUUCUUUUUCUUCAUUUUUCCCCCCUAUUUAUUUGAAUAAAUUGAUGGAGAAAGUAAAAAUCUAGAGUUCAGAUAAAAAGGAUACUUUUUGUGGGAUAAAAAAAUAUUGGUAGAUUUUGAAAGCAGCCAAUAAGAUGUAUUCCGUGUUUGUUGUAUAUUGGCCUCGUACUCCUUUUCUU
rnacentral:lncRNA from 1 species